CUUUUUGGAAACCGUAUAUCGAUAAAGUAUAUUAUACAGAUUACGCCGCCUCUAUUUAGCAUGAUCAUUUCACUUUUCGAUCGUCGCCAUUUUGUAAGCGCCCUGCCUAAGAGUGUGUCAUGGACUUCAGCUGGAUUAAAUGUGUAUUACCCGGGAGGAACUGUAAAGAACCAGCCAGACAGCCCGCCCGCCGAGCUGCCCACCCGGCCGAGCUGUACUUUGUGUAUGUCAACAUGCCGACAUGCUGUAAUUUGUUAGAACUUCAAGAUCAUAUUAUGGAAAAUUGUAUCCAAACUGAAGUAUAAUUUGAAUCAUGAUGUGCCAAUAAGCUCCAGUUAGCUGUGCCUUUUUUCCUCCCACCGGUAGUCCUUCAAUCUGAAUCCAGGAGAUGCAGCUCUGAAUCCAAUAUUUCAGGAGAAUGAAUAUAAAACUGAAGCCUUCAGGAAGUCAGUGCCACCAUGAUAUUGAUUUAUUCAGCUCUGAUGUACUCAGCUGCGAUGUAACAUGCCUUCAAGCCACUAUCCGAAGAACAUUCAGACGUUCUAAAUGGACCAUUGCUCUGUUGCCAUGGAAAUCAUUAUGAGGAGGAGCACACAAACUGUCACUUGUUUUGGAUAUCAGAUGUACCACGAACUGACCAUAAACUUUUCAGAUGCUCUGUUUAUUUCAUCAGCCAAUUUCGAUGUAAAUUUUACUGAAUAAUGACAAACAGUCUUACUCAUAAGCAUCUCUUACUCAUUCGUAUUCCACAACUAAACAUGCUUGCAAUUACAUUGUGCCAUCUAUCAUAAUAUAGCAAUGUUGCAAUGUCCACAUUUUUUUGUACCAGUUGUUGCUUUAUACUGAAACUUUUUUGAAAAUGGUGCAUAAACACUGACAACACAUCAAUGUUUCGUUCAUACAUUUGUACAUGUUCUUUCAGUGUUGAUAAUGUUGACAUAUUUCAUGUAUAUUUACACAUGUGUUUAUUGCCAACCUCAUGAAAACAUGCAUAGUUUGCUCACAUACAUAUUUCCAAAACAGACAUUUACUGAAUGUAUUACUACUUUACGUUGAUUUUGAUAUGUAAAUACAACAUUGUACUACUUGUUUGUACAAAACACUUUUCAUUUGCUAUGUUGUUUGUUUCCAUGUUCUGUCUGCAUACAGAUGGUAUUAUCAUAUCAAUUUUUAGCUCGACUAUUCGUAGAAUAUGGAAAGCUAUACUACUCACCCAAGUGUCGGCGUCACACCUUGGUUAAGGAUUUGCGUGCAAGCACACAUAGGUUAAUAUCUCCGUUACUUCUUGAGGUAUCGCAUUGAGACUUGAUACAACGGUACUCAACCAUCCAACCUACUUAUUUAACCAAGUUAGAUAACUCUACUUUGCAUUUAAUGCAAAUUAUAGGCUUUUAUUAUUUGACUAAAAAAUUCUGGUUAAGGUUUUGCAUGCAAGCGCACAUAGGUAAAUAUCUCAUUAAGUGCUUGAGGUAUUGCAUUGAGACUUGAAACAAUGUUACUCAACCAUCCAACCUACAUAAUAAACCAAGUAAGAUAACUCUACUUUGCAUUUAAUGCAAAUUAUAGGCUUUUAUUAUUUGACUUAGAAAUUCUGGUUAAGGUUUUGCGUGCAAGCACACAUAGGGAAAUAUCUCAUUAAGUACUUGAGGUAUUGCAUUGAGACUUGAUACAAUGGUACUCAACAAUCCAAUCUACUGAAUUAACAAAGUUAGAUAACUGUAGUUUGCAUUUAAUCCAAAUAAUAGGACUUUAUUAUUCGACUUAGAAAUUCAGGUUAAAGUUUUGUGUGCAAGCACACAUAGGUUAAUAUCUCAGCAGCUACUUGAGGUAUUGCAUUGAGACAUGUUACAAGGUACUCAACCAUCUAAUUAAUUAACCAAAUAAGAUAACUUGACUUUGCAUUUAAUGCAAAUGAUAGGCCUUUAUUAUUCGACUUAGAUAUUUUGAUUAAGGUUUUGUGUGCAAGCACACAUUAUAUAAAUAUCAAAGCAACUACUUGAUGUAUUGCAUUGAGACUCAUAUAAUUGUACUCAAUCAUCAAACUCCCCCAUGUAAGAUAGCUCUAGUUUCAUUAAAUGCAAAUAGUUGCCCUUAUUAUUCGACACAGAAAUUCUAGUUAAGGUUUUGCGUGUAAGCACACAUAGGUAAAUUUCUCAGCAACUACUCGAUGUAUUGCAUUGAGACUUUAUAGAAUUUAAUCAAGUAAGUUUAUAUCUGGUUACAAUUCAUACAUACUACAUAAGUAAUAUUCUCGAUGACAUUUUAUUACCCAACUUGUAUGUCUACAGGUUAUGUUCUAUUUUUAUAUCUCUAUGUUAUAUGCGUUUACUAACACAUUCAUUGUGUAUGUCAUCUGCAACAGUGCAAAUCCUUCUUCGCCUUUGAUAUCUGCAAUACUAUAUCUAUAAUAUGCGUUUAAGUCUGCGCCCGUAACCAGACUGCUGUAAAUAUGCCUUUUCGACUGGUGUUUCGAGUUAUUUUUCAAUCCUAGUUUGACUACUGUUAUCAGUUUUAAAAUAAAUCGAACAGUGCUGAUUAUAUCCUUGUACAACAUUGCUUGCCAUUUAUUGAUGAAAAAUAUAGGAAACCAAUAGCGAGAAAUGUCUAUAAUACUUCCGACCAUCGUGAAUUAAAACUCUGCUAGCAAUCAAGCGAUCUCCGUCGGAUUGUUUCAAUCGAACACAUCCAUGAUAUUUGAUAAACUCAACGCUCACAUUUUUGUUGUUGUAUUUUAUACCUGUUCUUAUAAUACUGAUACUGCAUAUUUCUUAGCUCUUACUUGAAGAUAAAAAAUAUCAAUUUA